AACGAACGCUGGCGGCAUGCCUAACACAUGCAAGUCGAACGAGACCUUCGGGUCUAGUGGCGCACGGGUGCGUAACGCGUGGGAACCUGCCCUUAGGUUCGGAAUAACUCCCCGAAAGGGGUGCUAAUACCGGAUAAUGUCUUCGGACCAAAGAUUUAUCGCCUUUGGAUGGGCCCGCGUUGGAUUAGCUAGUUGGUAGGGUAAAAGCCUACCAAGGCGACGAUCCAUAGCUGGUCUGAGAGGAUGAUCAGCCACACUGGGACUGAGACACGGCCCAGACUCCUACGGGAGGCAGGAGUGGGGAAUUAUUGAACAUGGGCCAAAGCCUGAACCAGCCAUGGCGGGUGAGUUAUGAAAGCCUUAGGGUUGUAAAGCUCUUUUACCCGGGAUGAUAAUGACAGUACCGGGAGAAUAAGCUCCGGCUAACUCCGUG
rnacentral:rRNA from 1 species